UUAGGGCUCUUGGAAUUUGACUAGGGUUUUUUGCCAAUUCCAAAGCAUGAGAAGAUCCAUCCUCGACCGAUGAUGCUUGUGUCUGAUGAUAAUGUCCUUGGAAAUUACCGGCGCGGCACUGGAAUUUCUGCGAUUUCAGCUGGAAUGGAGCAGCAGCACAAGCUCGGCCCCAAUAUCGAGGAGGGAUUUCACAGCGGGAGAUCCGUGCAGACAUGGCAGUGCUUCCCCGAUGGCGGAUCUCUGUCCUCGAUCGACAGCUUGCCCCCAAUUGAGGACGAUGAAUCCGGGACGGACCAGGGAAUGAUUGGAUCCCCGGCCAUGGGACGCCUGGAUUACGACUCAGGCGGCCAGAAUCGAUCGAGAGAAGAGGCCUCGCCUUCACGCGUGAAGCUCAUGUGUAGCUUUGGUGGGCGAAUUCUUCCACGUCCAUCCGAUGGAAAGCUCCGGUACGUUGGUGGCGAGACGCGAAUUGUGAGCCUCAAGAGGGACGUGAGCUACGCGGAGCUCAUGCUCAAGAUGAAGAAGCACUACGGGGAGGAUCUGUCACUUAAGUACCAGUUGCCCAACGAGGAUCUGGACGCAUUGAUAUCGGUCUCUACCGACGAGGACUUGCAAAACAUGAUGGAGGAGUAUGACCGGCUCGAGGACAACGAUGGCUUGCAGCGGCUCAGGGUGUUUCUCUUCUCGGUUGCUGAUGGUGAGAGCCUCUCGAUCGAUCCUUUGGACCCGAGAAAGUCCGAGCAGUGGUACGUGGAGGCUGUCAACGGGUUGCUGGAAACGGGGUCGAGGAAAUCCGAGAGUGGGGUCAGUGGCGGUGGCAUUAGUGCUCGUCCCAGCGCUGAGAAUCUUGUUGCUUUAGACGCCACCCUCGAAGAGCAGUUACUCGCUAAGAAGCUACAGGGGGCCUUUAACUCGGCGUCGUCGUCGCCAGCUUUAGUCCCACAGCAGCCGUAUGCCAGGAAUCUUGGGGGUCAUGCUUACGGGAUGUUUGCAUCGGAAGGACAGCAGCAGCACUUUGGGAAUUUAAACACGGACGUAGGCCACUUCGACUUGGAUCACUACUAUCCAAAUCCUCGAGCGGAGGUGACGCAUGAUCAUGACCGGAUUCUACGUGGCUAUCCUCACGAGACGAAGAUGCCUCGGGUUGGCUCUCAUGGGAAGCUUUCAAGGCUUCAGGAGCAGCAACUUGAUGAUAGCCAGCAGCAGCACUUUGGGAACUUAAACACGGACGUAGGCCACUUCGACUUGGAUCACUACUAUCCAAAUUCUCGAGCGGAGGUGACGCAUGAUCAUGACCGGAUUCUACGUGGCUAUCCUCACGAGACGAAGAUGCCUCGGGUUGGCUCUCAUGGGAAGCUUUCAAGGCUUCAGGAGCAGCAACUUGAUGACAGCCAGCAGCAGCAGCAGCAGGACUUGCUACCUCACGACCUUUUUAUGGAGCCGAGGCCAAGGUUCGUCGUGCAGCCGCCGCAGCCACAUCGUCAACACCCUCUCGAUAGCAACCAGGAUUACAGGAGGCCAGAGUUUCAGCACUCCGACAGUGGAUUCCCACAUAUGCUUCAGCACCAACAAGCGCAGCCGGUGGUGUAUCUCAAGGAUCCCGUGUACAGAGCUGAAGCAUACCACCGCCACCAGCUUCCGGACGAUUAUCAAGGCCACGACUUUAUCCAGCACGAGGACUAUUGUCCUGGUCAUCUGUACCAGAGAAACUCUAAUCACGGAGAUGGUGGCGGGAUGGGAGCUCACUCAGCUCCAUAUCAGAUUGGAUCGUCGCCAUCUUCACCUCGACUAGCGUACCGUGAUGGCAGACUCCAUCCGCAGUUGAGUGUGCAUAGGCCGUAUCCUGGAAAUCCCGUCGACCAUCAAUAUGGAAGGAGGCCUCAUACACACGAAGAAUCCGGUCGGGGCUACAGGCUUUCAUCGUCGCCACCUCGCUAUCGUGAUCAUCACCUUGAUGAACCGUUGCCGUUUCUACAUCAUGAGCGGUUUCCAUCGGAUCAAGUGGCUAUGGCUCUUAUGUUCGACAAGAAGCAAGGACCAGAGAUGCUACCCAGGCAACCUAUGGGCCUAUACGGUCCAGGAUAUCAGGAAAAUUCUUUCUAUUAUCCGGACAAUGGUCAAAGAGGUGGCGAGCCAAGGCGCCAAGUUAAAACAUCUCCGCACUUGAAUCCCAGAUUUGAUUACCAAGACCAUCUGGUGCAAAUGGAGCAACUUUCGCUUCAUGGCCAUCAACCAGAGGUCGUCGACUGGCAAGAGAGAAACUUGGAAGCAGAAGACUCGGGGCUUAGGAAUCAAAAACCACUCAUCGAGCCUGAGCUCCGCCAAGCUGUUACGAACUCGCUGCCUUUUGUGGUGCACGGAAGUGGCAUUGGGCCCUCUAGUCAGGUUCCUCCAAAAUUUAUGGACUCCCAGCCAUUGAACCGGUCAUCGACGUCAGGGAUAAAUACUUCCGAGACAGGAUUUGGCAGCAGAUGGAUGACCGAAGACGAGACACCGGAUCUCCUCACUGAUACGGGCUCUAGCGCGAGAGUAAACAUCGCUAGGCCUUCCAGCAAUAAUAAUCUUACAGGUCUAGUCAGCCAGGUUGGUUCAGCAGCUCAGAGUCAGCAGGCAUCCGCAGCUUACAGUUGUGCUCCUUCUGUUAGUCUUCCCAUUUUCGAUACCAUAUCUCAGUGGAAUCGGAGCAUUGGGGCUGGGGACCUCGAAGCAAGUGCUGUGAAGAGUGAAAUUGAUGACGACGCAUCCCGCAAGCUUUCUCACAUGAUGUCGGAAACUGGUCAUCUGGCGGAAGACAUGGUUUCGUCAGUGUUGAGGUCCAACUACGAGUUUCCGGCAACGUCGUCAAAUUUUCCAGUUCAGAAGGAGAUUGAACCUGUCCAGGAAUUGGAUCUGGUGCCACAACCAACGUUGACUGUGCAGAACUGGGACAAAGUUCUUUGCCGUGACGAGGAGCCUAUUACCGAAAACGAGGCAUGUAGAGAGCAUACUAGCGUUGAAGCUCAUGAUAAGGCUGAAGCCAGCCAUGACUCUCCUCCUCCAGGUGAUAUCUCGUUAGCUGCGGAACAGGAAGCGAAAUCUCGUGGCUUGCAGAUAAUAAAAAACUCCGAUCUCGAGGAAAUCCGAGAGCUCGGAUCUGGAACAUAUGGUACAGUCUACCAUGGAAAGUGGAGGGGAACAGAUGUCGCGAUUAAGCGUAUAAAAGCGAGCUGUUUCGAAGGAAGGCCGGUGGAACGAGAUCGUCUGAUACUUGAUUUCUGGAGAGAGGCGGGCACGCUGAGUAAGCUCCACCAUCCGAAUGUUGUGGCUUUCUACGGCGUGGUUCCCGAUGGCCCUGGCGGAACGCUGGCAACCGUCACAGAGUAUAUGGUAAAUGGAUCGUUGAAGCAAGUGCUUCAGAAGAAAGACAGAACCAUUGAUCGUCGGAAGCGACUGUUGAUAGCAACAGACGCUGCUUUUGGGAUGGAGUAUCUACACGGAAAGAACAUCGUUCAUUUCGACCUGAAGUGCGAGAAUUUGCUGGUCAACAUGAGGGAUCCACAUCGGCCAGUGUGCAAGGUUGGAGAUCUGGGACUGUCGAAAGUUAAGCGCCAGACAAUGGUGUCUGGUGGCGUCCGAGGAACAUUGCCGUGGAUGGCUCCUGAGCUCUUGAGCACCUCGAGUUGUAUGGUCAGUGAGAGAGUGGAUGUUUUCUCAUUCGGGAUAGUUAUGUGGGAGCUUCUCACCGGAGAGGAGCCUUAUGCAAACAUGCACUACGGAGCGAUCAUAGGUGGCAUUGUUAGCAACACGCUUCGUCCACCGAUUCCAAAUUGGUGUGAGCCAGCGUGGAGGUCUCUGAUGGAACGCUGCUGGGACGCCGAUCCCUCGGCGAGGCCAUCGUUUGCCGAGAUUGCCAGCGAGCUCAGGUCGAUGAGUUCGUCGCUACAACCCCGAUCUUGACGAAGAACACGUAGGAAAAGAAAGAGAGCUGUUAAAGAAGCCGUGUGUUACAGUUUUAUUCAACUGUGACAGAGAAAAGAGCGACCACCGAUUCAUUUUUUGUUUUUUGUUUUUUAUUUUUGGAUAUGCCUUGUAUAUGCUAGCCUUUCUCUACGUCCAUUGGUUUGUAUAUAGAUGUAUAUAUAUUUCUAAUGCUCGCC